UUGCCUGUGAGAGGAUGUCCUGUUGCCUAU
rnacentral:piRNA from 1 species